rnacentral:tRNA from 2 species
UCCGGAAUAGCUCAAUGGCAGAGCACUUGGCUUGAGACUAAGUAGGUGCUGGUUCGAUUCCAGCUUCUGGACCCA